UAACCGUGGCUCAGUUCAGAUCGUAGGCUGCAACUCGCCUACGUGAAGGAGGAAUCGCUAGUAAUCGCAGGUCAGCAUACUGCGGUGAAUACGUUCCCGGGCCUUGUACACACCGCCCGUCACACCAUGGAAGUUGGCCACGCCCGAAGUCGUUACUCCAACCCUCUGGGAGGAGGACGCCGAAGGUGGGGCUGAUGACUGGGGCGAGGUCGUAACAAGGUAGCCGUACCGGAAGGUGCGGCUGGAUCACCUCCUAACA
rnacentral:rRNA from 1 species